AAACCGUUCGGGGGUAAACGGACAGAGCCCGUGAAUCCGGGCGACGGAAUUCAGAAUCGACGGCGUUCGCGCGUCGUCGGUUCGAUAUUUCCGUCGCCGACCAUUUACACGGACGUCGCGACCCGUUCGGUGUCGGUCUGCAGGAGACGUGCGAAAGUUCGUGUGCGUUCGCCGGGGUUUCGGCUUCGGCGGGCGUUUCGCGAGUGCGCGUUCUUUUCUGGCCGACUCGCCGGACGGUAUGCGAAGCGGUGAUCGCGGCGGCCUCUCGUCAGCGCCGUCGCGUUACCGGUCUGCGACGAAUCUUCGGGCCUCUUUCCGA
rnacentral:rRNA from 1 species